rnacentral:rRNA from 1 species
AGAGUUUGAUCAUGGCUCAGGAUGAACGCUGGCGGCGUGCCUAAUACAUGCAAGUCGAGCGAACGGACGAGAAGCUUGCUUCUCUGAUGUUAGCGGCGGACGGGUGAGUAACACGUGGAUAACCUACCUAUAAGACUGGGAUAACUUCGGGAAACCGGAGCUAAUACCAGAUAAUAUUUUGAACCGCAUGGUUCAAAAGUGAAAGACGGUCUUGCUGUCACUUAUAGAUGGAUCCGCGCUGCAUUAGCUAGUUGGUAAGGUAACGGCUUACCAAGGCAACGAUGCAUAGCCGACCUGAGAGGGUGAUCGGCCACACUGGAACUGAGACACGGUCCAGACUCCUACGGGAGGCAGCAGUAGGGAAUCUUCCGCAAUGGGCGAAAGCCUGACGGAGCAACGCCGCGUGAGUGAUGAAGGUCUUCGGAUCGUAAAACUCUGUUAUUAGGGAAGAACAUAUGUGUAAGUAACUGUGCACAUCUUGACGGUACCUAAUCAGAAAGCCACGGCUAACUACGUGCCAGCAGCCGCGGUAAUACGUAGGUGGCAAGCGUUAUUCGGAAUUAUUGGGCGUAAAGCGCCCGUAGGCGGUUUUUUAAGUCUGAUGUGAAAGCCCACGGCUCAACCGUGGAGGGUCAUUGGAAACUGGAAAACUUGAGUGCAGAAGAGGAAAGUGGAAUUCCAUGUGUAGCGGUGAAAUGCGCAGAGAUAUGGAGGAACACCAGUGGCGAAGGCGACUUUCUGGUCUGUAACUGACGCUGAUGUGCGAAAGCGUGGGGAUCAAACAGGAUUAGAUACCCUGGUAGUCC